ACAAUCCGGCUUCACUGAAAUAUUGUGGUGCACAAUAAUUGUUACAAACAUGAACCGUGUUUUUAUUGCUUUUCUUGCCAUUUUGAUGGUUACAUGUGCUUUCGUUUCGGCAGAUGAGGAGGCGAAUAAUUGGAUGUCUUCCCUGUUUCCAAAGCCAAAGCAUCACUCAAUAGUAUACAAGACAAGCCACAACAGCACGAGCUCCCAGAGCAGCAGCAAAAGCCAUCACUUUAAAAUCACCCAUCAUGGCAAAUAACCAGAAAAAAUAAAGAUAUCCCCUGAAGCAGCGAUGGUUGAUAAGAUUACUAAUACCUAACACCUGUUUUUAUAUACUAAACACAUGGGAUUUCCUUCUUAAAUAAUCUAGUAUAAGACAAUAUUAAAAAAAUAAAACGUUAAU